UCUCGCCGUCGCCUCACAGUGCCGAGUCCUUUUACUUGUCUCUGCGGUGGUUGGAGUUGCCGCAUGGCACUAUGGCAGGAUGAUGAGCAGCCGACCAGCCUCCAGCUUCCUCUUUUCUCUCUUCCUUUCUCACAGGGUGUGUGACUCAUACAUAGUCAGUCUCGUCGCCUAUGGUUUAAGCAACUAGUGGCAUUGGGCAGAAAGGGGCGGGGUGGAGCUCAAAAGAUCUCGCGAAGUCAUGGUUUCCAAGCAGGUUUGAAUUUGUCACCGAAACUUUGCAUCCGUCCAUGUUGAAUAUGCCAGUCAUAGAACUGCAAAUUAUCCCAGAAUUCUAUGGGACUCAUGCAUGCAACCUGUCUUUUACCUGCACCUUUUGGGAUCUCAAGGGCAUUUCCACCUCGUAUAUUUCCUCUAGACGCCCUGGUACCCUACUCUACAUGUGAACUUGACGUGCUAAUGACUUCUUCUUACCCUGUUGAGUGCCAGGUCUUCAUGGAAGCCAAGCUGGUGACCUACCUGCAGGGAGAAGAAGAAACGUCACGAAGAGUCAUUGUGUUGCUGGCAGCCGCACGUUACAGUGCUCUAGUGAUUGCACGGUUGCGCUUCCCUUUAAUUUCGGUGUGCGGUUUAUGAACGAACCCUCAAAAGCAGCCGCAGAUUCCCAAUUCUCCAUGGGUGGAAACAUCUUCUGCAACUACCAAGUGCCUGGUGAGAAGUGAUUCCGAGGUCAGAUCGCCGAUGGAUGGAUGCUUGCUCGAUCGUGUGGAAGGGAAGGGAUCAUCAGUGGGUUUCGGACGAUGAGGUGCCUGCGAGCAAAAGCGCACAGGAUGAGAUACGAGGCGGCCGGAGGAUUUUGUGGCCGUCGCCGCGUGCGGUACGGAGACAGGCAGCGAAGUCAAGCAUGCAUGUGCAGAGCUGUGUAUGCAUGCACCUUGCUCGAAAAGUGUACAAAGGAAAAAGCGUUUGCUUUGCUAGGUGCUAGUGCUACUGCUACUGGUAGCUGCUAGCUUUGGCUGGCUUCAUUGGUUUUCUGGAAGUGUUAUCCUCAGCCUGAUUAGAAUUAUAUAGUUAGUUGGAUUAGAUCGCUUUUGGGACGCUUCCAAAAUAUUUUGGACCGUCCAUAUUUCA